rnacentral:rRNA from 1 species
UACGUAGGGUGCAGGCGUUAAUCGGAAUUACUGGGCGUAAAGGGUGCGCAGGCGGCGGCUCAGGUCAGAUGUGAAAGCCCCGGGCUUAACCUGGAAUGUGCGUUUGAAACUAGGUCACUAGAGUUUGGUAGAGGGGGGUAGAAUUCCUGGUGUAGCAGUGAAAUGCGUAGAUAUCAGGAGGAAUACCAAUGGCGAAGGCAGCCCCCUGGAUUAAAACUGACGCUGAGGCACGAAAGCAUGGGGAGCAAACAGG